CCCUUAGAUGUUCUGGGCCGCACGCGCGCUACACUGAUGCAUUCAACGAGUCUAAAACCUGCUCUGAUAGGGGUGGGUAAUCUUUUGAAUGUGCAUCGUGAUUGGGAUAGAUGAUUGCAAUUUUUCAUCUUCAACGAGGAAUGCCUAGUAAACGCAAGUCAUCAGCUUGCAUUGAUUACGUCCCUGCCCUUUGUACACACCGCCCGUCGCUCCUAUCGAUUGAAUGAUCCGAUGAAUAUCAUGGAUUGAGGAUUAUAGCAGGUUCGCCUGUCUUGAUCUUCGAGAAGUGAAGUAAAUCUUAUCAUUUAGAGGAAGGAGAAGUCGUAACA
rnacentral:rRNA from 1 species